UACUCUGCUGGAGUUCGACAUUGCAAAUAAAGGUCUUUAUCCCCGGCGGUUCUACAAAAUUAGUUCUGCAGGGAUUCUGGUUGAAAGAAGCGUUAAAGUGGGCCUUGUAGGAGUCAGCAAUAAUCCAAUUUUACAUGGGUGCAGGUGGCUGCCUGUGUCUAGCGCUUUCACACAUCUCAUAUCUUCAUCCACGCCGUGGGUAUUUUUUUUCCACGGUGUGUUUCUGUUGCUGCCUCCAGUAUAUUGCUUAAUCAUCCUACCUGGGUUGAGUUUGUGCAUCGAUUGUGAACACAACAGGCAGCAGGCUAUAAUGGUGGUCCUGGCUGGAGUAGUUUUCACAGACUUCAGUAAUCUGUGGAGAUGAUAAUGUCUGUGCCUAUCAGAUAAAGGCAAACCAGUGCUCAGAGGAACCCAACCAUCUCUGAAUUGAGACCAGAGAGCUGUCUCUAUGGAUAGUCCUUAGAGAAGGCAUUUCGGAACACAGUAAACAGCAGCCUGGUGACUCCGAUUACAGGGCCAGUUGCCUUUGUUACAAUAAAAGCAAGUCAUCUACA
rnacentral:lncRNA from 1 species